rnacentral:rRNA from 1 species
AUUGAACGCUGGCGGCAUGCUUUACACAUGCAAGUCGAACGGUAACAGGGUGCUUGCACCGCUGACGAGUGGCGAACGGGUGAGUAAUGCGUCGGAACGUGCCGAGUAGUGGGGGAUAACGCAUCGAAAGGUGUGCUAAUACCGCAUACGUACUGAGGUAGAAAGUGGGGGACCUUCGGGCCUCACGCUAUUCGAGCGGCCGACGUCUGAUUAGCUAGUUGGUGAGGUAAAGGCUCACCAAGGCGACGAUCAGUAGCGGGUCUGAGAGGAUGAUACGCCACACUGGGACUGAGACACGGCCCAGACUCCUACGGGAGGCAGCAGUGGGGAAUUUUGGACAAUGGGCGCAAGCCUGAUCCAGCCAUGCCGCGUGUCUGAAGAAGGCCUUCGGGUUGUAAAGGACUUUUGUCCGGGAGCAAAUGCCUGGUGUUAAUAGCACUGGGAGCUGAGAGUGCCGGAAGAAUAAGCACCGGCUAACUACGUGCCAGCCGCCGCGGUAACAC